UACGUAGGGUGCAAGCGUUGUCCGGAAUUAUUGGGCGUAAAGAGCUCGUAGGCGGUCUGUCGCGUCUGCUGUGAAAACUCAGGGCUUAACCCUGAGCUUGCAGUGGAUACGGGCAGACUAGAGUGCGGUAAGGGAGACUGGAAUUCCUGGUGUAGCGGUGAAAUGCGCAGAUAUCAGGAGGAACACCGGUGGCGAAGGCGGGUCUCUGGGCCGUAACUGACGCUGAGGAGCGAAAGCAUGGGGAGCGAACAGG
rnacentral:rRNA from 1 species